rnacentral:lncRNA from 1 species
CAUUUAAAACAGGAUGUUUAAAACAAGACAAACAAACUCACCCCCAUUAUGGAGUUUCGUGACAACCACCUCCACAUCUGCUAAGGAGUGCAUGCUGAUGAGGUCUGCACCGAAGGCUUUGCAUUUCAAGAAUGUUAUGCUGUGCUUCCUAUGUAUCUGGCAUUAUAAGAACUCCUGAGGAGAUUCAGGCACGAACUGUCCCUAUUCUGAGACACAUAAGGUAUGUGGCAGGACAAGAAUAUUUAAGGGGUAUAGACACGGUCGGGAAAGGAAACGACUUUAGUUGUAAUAAGUGGAAGAC